rnacentral:rRNA from 1 species
UACGGAGGGAGCUAGCGUUGUUCGGAAAUACUGGGCGUAAAGCGCACGUAGGCGGCGCAGCAAGUCAGAGGUGAAAUCCCAAGGCUCAACCUUGGAACUGCCUUUGAUACUGGGGAUCUUGAGUCCGGGAGAGGUGAGUGGAACUGCGAGUGUAGAGGUGAAAUUCGUAGAUAUUCGCAAGAACACCAGUGGCGAAGGCGGCUCACUGGCCCGGUACUGACGCUGAGGUGCGAAAGCGUGGGGAGCAAACAGG